AUUGAACGCUGGCGGCAGGCCUAACACAUGCAAGUCGAGCGGAUGAAGGGAGCUUGCUCCUGGAUUCAGCGGCGGACGGGUGAGUAAUGCCUAGGAAUCUGCCUGGUAGUGGGGGAUAACGUCCGGAAACGGGCGCUAAUACCGCAUACGUCCUGAGGGAGAAAGUGGGGGAUCUUCGGACCUCACGCUAUCAGAUGAGCCUAGGUCGGAUUAGCUAGUUGGUGGGGUAAAGGCCUACCAAGGCGACGAUCCGUAACUGGUCUGAGAGGAUGAUCAGUCACACUGGAACUGAGACACGGUCCAGACUCCUACGGGAGGCAGCAGUAGGGAAUAUUGGACAAUGGGCGAAAGCCUGAUCCAGCCAUGCCGCGUGUGUGAAGAAGGUCUUCGGAUUGUAAAGCUCUUUAAGUUGGGAGGAAGGGCAGUAAGUUAAUCCCUUGCUGUUUUGACGUUACCUACAGAAUAAGCCCCGGCUAACUUCGUG
rnacentral:rRNA from 1 species